UAUGCGAACCGUCUUCCCCUUGGCCGGUUCUCCUUCAUCGGAACCCUGCGCUCGACCAUGGCCUUAGGCGAGCUCGUUAGCCGAUCCCAGAUCCCCGACGGUGGCGUAGCCGGAGAUCCACCGAUCAAUGGCGCCUCCGCCGCUGUCUCCGAGAGGAAAAAGGUCCGAGAAAGCGAGCGCCGCCGCCGUCGGCGGAAGCAGAAGAAGAACGACAGUAAAUCCUCUGUUUCCUUGGCCGACGGCGGCGAGAAGAGGGGAGUAGAGGGAGGGGAAAUGGGCGCAGCUGAGGACGAGCGCAAUGAUUACCCCGAGGUCAACAUGAGUGUGGAAGUGGAGUACAUUCCUGAAAAGGCUGAUGUAGACGAAAGCAUUUUCGAGGAAUUCAAGAAUGUUAUCGAGAAGUUCAACUUCAGAGAUCAUGCUGGUGUCGAGGAUAAUUCAACAAAGGAUGAGACCAUGGGCAAUGCGGCAGCCAAGAAGGGAGAUUCAGAUACAGAAGAGGAUGAGCAGGAAACUCAGCAGAAGGAAAAAGGACUCUCGAACAAGAAGAAGAAGCUUCAAAAACGAAUGAAGAUUGCAGAACUGAAGCAAAUUUGCUCAAGGCCAGAUGUAGUUGAGGUUUGGGAUGCAACCGCAGCAGAUCCAAAGCUACUUGUAUUUCUUAAGUCGUAUCGAAAUACUGUGCCUGUUCCAAGGCACUGGUGCCAAAAGCGGAAGUUUUUACAGGGAAAACGAGGUAUUGAAAAACAACCUUUUCACCUUCCUGACUUCAUUGCUGCAACUGGAAUAGAGAAAAUAAGACAGGCAUACAUUGAGAAAGAGGAUAGCAAGAAGCUAAAACAGAAACAGCGUGAGCGCAUGCAACCAAAGAUGGGAAAGAUGGAUAUUGAUUAUCAGGUCCUUCAUGAUGCAUUUUUCAAGUAUCAGACCAAACCAAAGCUGACAACACAUGGAGAUCUAUACUAUGAAGGAAAGGAAUUUGAGUUCAAACUUAGGGAAAUGAAGCCAGGAAUGUUGUCAAGGGAACUCAAAGAAGCACUAGGGAUGCCUGAUGGUGCACCGCCUCCAUGGCUUAUUAAUAUGCAGAGGUAUGGCCCACCUCCAUCCUACCCUCACUUGAAGAUACCUGGGCUAAAUGCUCCCAUCCCUCCUGGAGCCAGCUUUGGUUAUCAUCCUGGAGGUUGGGGUAAACCUCCAGUUGAUGAAUAUGGACGCCCAUUAUAUGGCGAUGUUUUUGGGGUACUGCAGCAGGAGCAACUUAAUUAUGAGGAAGAACCGGUUGAUCGGAGCAAACACUGGGGAGAUUUGGAGGAAGAAGAGGAAGAAGAGGAGGAAGAGGAAGAGGAGGAAGAGAUGGAAGAAGAGGAAUUGGAGGCUGGCAUUCAGUCUGUUGACAGCCUUUCAAGCACUCCCACCGGUGUAGAAACACCUGAUGUGAUUGACUUGAGGAAGCAACAGAGGAAGGAGCCUGAGAAACCACUUUAUCAAGUACUUGAAGAGAAGGAAGAAAGGAUUGUUCCUGGGACUUUGCUGGGAACAACCCACACGUAUGUGCUUGGGGCACAAGAUAAAACAGCUGCAAAAAGGGUUGAUCUUUUACGGGGUCAAAAAUCAGACAAGGUGGAUGUCACCAUACAACCAGAAGAGCUGGAAGUUAUGGACGAUGUUUUGGCAGCCAAGUAUGAAGAAGCACGAGAGGAAGAGAAGGUACGGAACCAGAAGGAGGACUUCAGCGAUAUGGUUGCAGAGCAAGCAGCAAACAAAAGGAAGCGCAAGGAGAAGGAAGGGAAAUCGAAGAAGAAAGAUUUCAAGUUCUAGACCAUGUGGCCUGGUCUUUUGCUUAAAGCUUACCCUUAGCGUUCAGCAUAUAGGUCACUCACUCUUGCUGUGAAUGGAGUGUCGGGGAACAUUGUUGUUUGUUUGUCUGCCACAAGCUACUAUGUCAUGUUCUUAUAAAAUGUGUCUUUGUAGAAUAGCUAAUGAACUACAUUUAUAGAUCAUCAAGAUGAUUUGCUUGCAGAUUUCGAAGUCCAAAAUUAAGGCCUCAUUCUUUGUCAUACCGUGUUUCAACCCGCAACAUGUUUUAGGAACCAACGGAGAGCAGCCUAUACCAAGGUCAAGUCUAUAGUUUGAUCACGUGGCAAGUAGGUCCCUCAUCAAUGUCUGAGUUGGGCCUUCUUAAAUGCUGUAUGGAAUUAAGUGUUUCGGAAAAGAGUGCAUAAUAAUGUUUGUUAUCUUUGGUCAGCAAUAUAAAUACUUUUUGUCGUUUUAAGUAUAAAAAAAAUGAACAACAUGAGCCUAAGGUCGUGUAUUGAGGCAGGUAAGUUUCUAUUUAUUUAGAUUUUGUUUUUAGAA